ACCCGCUGAACUUAAGCAUAUCAAUAAGCGGAGGAAAAGAAACCAACAGGGAUUGCCUUAGUAACGGCGAGUGAAGCGGCAAAAGCUCAGAUUUGAAAUCUAGCGUCAUAUUGGCGUUCGAGUUGUAAUCUGUAGAGAAGUUAUCGAGUGUGGAUAUGGCUUAAGUUCUUUGGAACAGGACGUCAUAGAGGGUGAGAACCCCGUAUACGGCCUUUGUCUUAUGCUCAUGUGAGGCUUCUUCGACGAGUCGAGUUGUUUGGGAAUGCAGCUCUAAAUGGGUGGUAAAUUCCAUCUAAAGCUAAAUACUGGCAAGAGACCGAUAGCGCACAAGUAGAGUGAUCGAAAGAUGAAAAGAACUCUGAACAGAGAGUUAAAUAGUACGUGAAAUUGUUGAAAGGGAAGCACUUGCUACCAGACUCGCUUGCAGUUAAUCAACUAUCAUUCUUGGUAGUGCACUUUUCUGUAGGUGGGCCAGCAUCAGUUGAGUCGGUGGGAUAAAGGCAGUCGGAAUGUGGCUCUCUUCGGAGAGUGUUAUAGCCUUCUGUGUAAUACCAUCUAAUGCGACUGAGGUCAGCGCUUUUGCGAGGAUGCUGGCAUAAUGGUCGU
rnacentral:rRNA from 1 species